UACGGGGGGGGCAAGCGUUGUUCGGAAUUACUGGGCGUAAAGGGUUCGUAGGUGGCUUGCUAAGUCAGACGUGAAAUCCCUCAGCUUAACUGGGGAACUGCGUCUGAUACUGGCGAGCUUGAGUGCAGGAGAGGAACGCGGAAUUCCAGGUGUAGCGGUGAAAUGCGUGGAUAUCGAGAAGAACACUUAGGGCGAAGGCAAGACUCUGGACAAAUGCUGACGCUCAUGCACGAAGGCUAGGGUAGCGAACGGG
rnacentral:rRNA from 1 species